UACGUAGGUAGCGAGCGUUGUUCGGAGUUACUGGGCGUAAAGGGUGUGUAGGCGGUUGUUUAAGGUUGGUGUGAAAUCUCCCGGCUCAACUGGGAGGGUGCGCCGAAUACUGAAUGACUCGAGUGUGGGAGAGGUGAGUGGAAUUCCUGGUGUAGCGGUGAAAUGCGUAGAUAUCAGGAGGAACACCGGUGGUGUAGACGGCUCACUGGACCAUAACUGACGCUGAGACACGAAAGCGUGGGUAGCAAACAGG
rnacentral:rRNA from 1 species